rnacentral:rRNA from 1 species
UACGUAGGUGGCAAGCGUUGUCCGGAUUUAUUGGGCGUAAAGCGAGCGCAGGCGGUUUCUUAAGUCUGAUGUGAAAGCCCCCGGCUCAACCGGGGAGGGUCAUUGGAAACUGGGAGGCUUGAGUGCAGAAGAGGAGAGUGGAAUUCCAUGUGUAGCGGUGAAAUGCGUAGAUAUAUGGAGGACACCAGUGGCGAAGCGGCUCUCUGGUCUGUAACUGACGCUGAGGCUCGAAAGCGUGGGGAGCAAACAGGAUUAGAUAC